GCCACUGUGCCUGGCCAAAUCUAGACAUUUCUUAAUAGAAUUCAACCUCAGUCAUGCACACAUUCAUUCAUUCCAUUGAACACCUAGUGUAUACCAAGCUCUGUGCUAUACUCCAGGUGUCAAGAAGCUAUGAUGGCAUAAAAAGAAGGUGAGUGAUUGUCCACAAUGCAGGAAAAAGCCCACAUUAGCAAUGGGCACGGAGGUAAGGAAAUACCAUACAAUGGAGACUGAGGAGAACUUUGUCAAAACAGUGGCAUGAACCGACAACAAAAAUCAGGGAUGUGCUACCCGAUCUUGACGAGCCAGUCCUAUCACCAAAAGGAAGAUCCCAGGGACAGGCAGGCUGGGAAGCACAGGGCAUGGCACCGGCCACCCAUGGAAAACUUCAGCCUUGGGUGUGAGGAUGAUGGCACCCCUCUAAGUUUCAGUGAUGGCCUGGAAGGGAUGAAUGAGAAGGAGUUGGUGGAGGAAGAAGUUGUCAAAAUCUAAGACAUAUCUAUGCAACUGCAGUGAGAGAGGUGGAGAGAAGAGCACGUUGGGCCCAGAGAUUCUUAGGCAUCAGGAUCUAAACUUGGCAACCAGUUGACUGUGACGAAGACAUGAAAGAGAGGCAGAAGGCAACGAUGCCUUGAGUUUCUAGUUUAGCUGAUGAGAUGGGUGGCAACAUCAUUAACAGAGGUAAAGACGUGUUCAAGAGACAGUUGUUUUCUGUUUUGUUUUGUAAUUUAAUCAGUGGAUUUGGGGCAUGCCCAGAAAGAGGCUACCUAAGGGUAUUAUUUGACUAUUCCCUGGAACUAUGUCAACACACACUGAAAACGAAAGCUAGAGAAGGAAUGAAUUCCCAUUUAUGAACCAGUGUUUCCUGACUCUCAACUCUGUCUGACUCUCAACUCUGUGGAAGCCACCCUAGGCAUGGGAGGCAGGUGGUGAGGAAUUCCCAGACGUUGUGUUUCUUUGGAGGAGCUAAGAUGGUCCAGGCUCCAUGCAGGGGAAGCAACUUAUUUCUUAGGCUUAGUCCUUCCUUCCUCCUGAAAGACCCCUGACAGAGUGCUAGAUGUAGGGCAGGACUUCUGAACCUAAAGAGCAGACACUUCUCAAUUAUACUUUUUCCAUGCAUUGCCUUCAAAAAACUGCACGCCUGCUGGGCUCGGUGGCUCACGCCUGUAAUCCCAGCACUUUGGGAGGCGGAGGUGGGUGGAUCACUUGAGGCUAGAAAUUCGAGUCCAACCUGAGCGACGCAGUGAGACCCUGUCUGUACAAAAAAAAAAAAAAA
rnacentral:lncRNA from 1 species